rnacentral:lncRNA from 1 species
CCUGAGAUGCGCUUGGAUAUGAAGAAAUGGAGCAGCUUGGAUAUGAGGAAAUGGAGCAACAUAUGGCGGACGUUAGUCCAAUUCAACUAUUUACUUUGUCCUUUAUCGUCUGAUUAUGUAGAAUCUUAGAUCAGAGUGAGUCACCAUGGAGGCUGACGAGAUAGCCUUCAGGAUUGUUUAACGGAAAUAUUGUAACAAAAGAGUUUGGAAUAUGCC